rnacentral:rRNA from 1 species
CCCUUAGAUGUCCUGGGCUGCACGCGCGCUACACUGAUGUGUCCAGUAAGCACCUAACCUCUUCCGAAAGGAACGGGUAACCUUUGCAAAGCACAUCGUGAUGGGGAUAGAUUAUUGCAAUUAUUAGUCUUGAACGAGGAAUUCCUAGUAAGAACAAGUCAUCAGCUUGUGUUGAUUACGUCCCUGCCCUUUGUACACACCGCCCGUCGCUCCUACCGAUUGAAUGUUCCGGUGAGCUCUUCGGACUGCGCGGUCUGCAGUUUCUGCGUUCCGUGCGGAAAGUUGCGCAAACCUUAACAUUUAGAGGAAGGAGAAGUCGUAACA